AGGAAGCCUCUGGGGCCGAGAGACCCAGGGAAGGGUCAGAGUGGGGAUCGAUGUUGGGGGAAUUGGGGCUACACUGAGGACUGUAAAUAAAAAGACACAGGUGAAACAACUGAGAGAGGCGUUGGGACCCCUUCUUUGACCAGCCUAAGCACACGAGGCCAGUAACGUGUGCGGACCCUGUGAUGCUGACCCAUUACUUGCCUAUAACAAGACAACACCAAAAGUGAAAGAAGGGUGGUGCCCUUCAGCGAUGCACUGGUGCUGUGAAGACCUGAACCGCGCACGCACAGCCACUGGGAUGGACUGUGCCACUUGUCGGUUAAAGAACUGGAACAUGAAGCUGUUGGGUUUUGUGAAUCUGAAGGAGUGCAAUUUAACCUUGAGUUAUGUAUCAAAAUCCCCCGUUUCAGCAUAAAAACUGCAUAUGUACCUAUUUAAUGAAUAAGACCCUUAAGCUAGGAAGGUGAGGACUAAAUGAACAUGGAACUUCAGCUACCUGGUCCUGCUUCUCGAGGUCAGGAUUUGAAACAAAGUGGUGGAGCAGUGUGUGAAUACAAAAGCUGUAUAGCAGUGGAAGGCUCUAUCUUCAUACUGGCUGAAAACAACACAGUUGCUUCUCUGCAAAGAGUCCAUCACGCAAAUCCUGACCAAACAACCAGCAGACUGCUAACCCAGUCUGGAAAGCGACUUUGUUAACAAUGAUAAAUCACUCUCAAAAUAGAGCUGGCACUUAGCACAUCCCUACCAUUCCUCCACGAUCGUUGUUAGAGCAUCCAUCGUGGGUCCCAGAGGCACAGAGACGCAUGUUAGUUUUGAGCUAGAUUUUUUUCCUAUCGCCCUCCCCCCCUUUUGAAAUGGAGCUGUGAUAGGCUGGAGAAGAGACAACCCCUACAUUCCUUAGCUUCUCCUUUCCACCCCAAUGUCUUAGGUAGAUGUGGGGUGCAAGGCCAGUUCCACUUCCUGUCUCUGCCCUUUCUCUUUUCCACAACAGUUCUCUGAAAGCCCUAUUUUGGAGUGUCCACCCCCACACAAUGCAGAGCAGAUUAAAUUAGGUCACUUAACCUGAUAGGCUGCAUGGGGGUGGGGGGAAGGGGAACACUAAGGCUUGAAAGGCAGACUGAGGCUAGAGCCCAACUGAGGAGGAACAGGCAGGGCUAAUCUAAUGCCAGGAAGGUAGCUUGUAGUGACUUUCUGGGUGGUAGAGAGGGAGGGAAGGAAACCCAGGAGGGGUUAACUCUAAUGGGCCCUGCAUGGAGAUGUGAGCACAGCAGGAUGGGUGGGAGACAAAGCUCAUCUCUUCCAGGAGCUCCUCCCCCAAAGCAGCUUGACAUCUGUGGAGCAUCUGCAAAGCCUUUUUUGCAUCCCUUCUCCAUGGGACCUCCAUCCAAUGCAGAGCUGGUUCCUGCAGGAGUAACAUGUUUACUUACUUGUCCAUAAUAAUAGCCAGUGCUUGGUCCUUAAAAUGGGCUUCUUUUUUAGACUUUAGAACAUACUUUUUGUUCCUUAGGUACGCAGCAGCCAGGCAGUUUAAGAGUUGGGUAUUCAUGUUUUUUGUGGAUGUUAAUGGGCUGGACUUGUGUGGUGGAAGGAUGCAAGUCUCUCUGGGCUUUACUAUUCUCUGUAUAUGUCUCAUUUCCUCAUCUUUCAGCAUCAAUCUUCUCUUUCUCUAAAGUAACUUUCAAAUGGAAACACCAAACUGACCAUCCACAAUGAAAAAAAGUUUCCCUCUUCUCAAACCUCUACAUGAUCUCAUGAGCCUCUUGCUCCCAUAGAUUGUCAACCCUGGCUUCCACAGUAGUAAUAGGGACCAUCUUCUAUAGGGAUCCUGUAGGGACAGGACUGCUUCACUUCCAUUGUAGCCCAUGUGCUACCAAGGCUGUAUGGUCCAGUGGACCUAGGAACAUACUACAAACCUAGCGACAGCAUCAUUUCUCUAAUACAAAGUUACGGUGUCCGGCUAGCCAAAGUGAUUUUACGGCUCUCUAUUUUCAAUGGAAAACUGCCUCCUCUGAAGAUGAAUUCCCUGAAGCCAGCAACUCCGUGUUUAUAGCAGCACAAUGCAGGGUUCCAAUCACAACAGUGAGCUUCUGUCAAGGAAAAAAAUCAUCUCAAUGUGCCAAAUAAAAAAUCCAAGCCUUAAUGGAUGCUUUGGUUGCUGACCAUAAAAGCAAAAGCCUGCUGCCACUUAGGUGAUGGAUUUCUUUUAGUAGGCAGCCACCAUUUUGUUUACAAGGAAAUUUCCACCAUUAGUAUGUACACAAACUGCUUACGGUUGUUUGAUUGGUUUUUUAGCAAAAGAUGACAAAGGAGAAAUGAGAUAUCUGUUAGAUUGAAUUAAGCAGUCUGUUACUACAGCUGUAUUACUAAGUUACGUUUAAUUGCUCAGCAUUUAUGAGAUUCAUAGUUUAUUGUCUUUCUUGCCACACAAUAGGCUGGGUAAGUUAAAGAGCUCUAAGUUUCUAAGGCUAGAGUUUUUGGGUGCCUGCCAGCACUGAUCUGUUUAACAAACAAGCUGCAGGGUGCUUAUUAGUAGGUUGUGAUUUGCAAACCAUGAAGCCUCUGGGGCCAGAUGCACUGAUCAAAUAGGAAAUCUAUAUAUCAGUGAGACCAUUAGAUGAAAAAGAGGCGCACCAUUGAGUAUAAAUAUGUUUUUCAGAGGCUUCAAUUAGGCCAUUGUAAAUGACUUUUGUAACUUUCUGUUGACCUAGCAGUCUAAAUAUUAAACAUUAGUAUAAGCAACAUUUGUUUCAAAUUGCUUCUAUUAGAAUUUCCUGAUGAGCGAUAAUUAUAUGAACUCAGUACUAAAAGAACAAGUACUUAAUUGCUUUAAUUUAUUUGUAUUUAUUUCAAUGUAACACAUGCUGCCUAUCUGCCACCAAAGAUGCUUAUUCAUUAUUCAUAAAAGCACAACAAAAAUUAAUGAAUCAAGAACUACAUAAGGCCAGAUGAUGAGUUGGUCUGAAUCAGCACAGUGCCAUGGAAGCCAAGAUGAUUUGUUUGGCUCGCCAAAGUCAAUGGAGCUAUGACAAUCUACAGUAGCCAAAGA